rnacentral:siRNA from 1 species
UAAGCUUGAUCUUUGUGUUCCU